UACGUAGGGGGCUAGCGUUGUCCGGAAUCAUUGGGCGUAAAGAGCGCGUAGGCGGCCAGAUAAGUCCGGUGUGAAAGUCAAAGGCUCAACCUUUGAAUGCCGCUGGAAACUGUCUGGCUAGGGUCCGGGAGGGGCGAGUGGAAUUCCUGGUGUAGCGGUGAAAUGCGCAGAUAUCUGGAGGAACACCAAUGGCGAAGGCAGCUCGCUGGAACGGUACUGACGCUGAGGCGCGAAAGCGUGGGGAGCGAACAGG
rnacentral:rRNA from 1 species